rnacentral:rRNA from 1 species
GAUGAACGCUGGCGGCGUGCUUAACACAUGCAAGUCGAACGGAAAGGCUCCUGCUUGCAGGGGUACUCGAGUGGCGAACGGGUGAGGAACACGUGGGUGAACUGCCCUGCACUUCGGGGUAAGCCUGGGGAACUGGGUCUAAUACCGGAUAGGACGAUGGUUUGGAUGCCAUUGUGGAAAGUUUUUUCGGUGUGGGAUGAGCUCGCGGCCUGUCAGCGUGUUGGUGGGGUAAUGGCCUACCAGGGCGUCGACGGGUAGCCGGCCUGAGAGGGUGUACGGCCACAUUGGGACUGAGAUACGGCCCAGACUGCGACGGGAGGCAGCAGUGGGGAAUAUUGCACAAUGGGCGCAAGCCUGAUGCAGAGGCGCGGCUUGGGGGAUGACGGCCUUCGGGUUGGAGACGCCUUUCGCUAGGGACGAAGCGCAAGUGACGGUACCUGGAGAAGAAGCGCCGGCUAACUACGUG